rnacentral:lncRNA from 1 species
GACACAUCUCCAGAACCCUGCUGGCCUCUUACACUUCACAGUGACUGCUGUGCUGGUUUGAAUGAGAACAGCCACACAGGCUCAUGGGAAUGAAUCCUUCAAAUCCAGCUGAGGCCAUGUUCAGAGAGGAUUGGGAGGUGUGGCCUUGAUGGAGGAUGUGUGCCACUGGUGUAUGCACUGAGGUUUUAAAAGACUUUCACUGGGCUGGAGAGAUGGCUCAGUGGUUAACAGCACUGGCUGCUCCUGAGUUCAAAUCCCAGCAAACACACGUUGCCUCACAACCCUCUGUAAUGAGAUCUGAUGCCCUCUUAUGGUGUCUGAAGACAGGUACAGUGUACUUUAU